GACGAACGCUGGCGGCGUGCUUAACACAUGCAAGUCGAACGGAAAGGCCCUGCUUUUGUGGGGUGCUCGAGUGGCGAACGGGUGAGUAACACGUGAGUAACCUGCCCUUGACUUUGGGAUAACUUCAGGAAACUGGGGCUAAUACCGGAUAGGAGCUCCUGCUGCAUGGUGGGGGUUGGAAAGUUUCGGCGGUUGAGGAUGGACUCGCGGCUUAUCAGCUUGUUGGUGGGGUAGUGGCUUACCAAGGCUUUGACGGGUAGCCGGCCUGAGAGGGUGACCGGCCACAUUGGGACUGAGAUACGGCCCAGACUCCUACGGGAGGCAGCAGUGGGGAAUAUUGCACAAUGGGCGGAAGCCUGAUGCAGCAACGCCGCGUGCGGGAUGAUGGCCUUCGGGUUGUAAACCGCUUUCGCCUGUGACGAAGCGUGAGUGACGGUAAUGGGUAAAGAAGCACCGGCUAACUACGUG
rnacentral:rRNA from 1 species